rnacentral:rRNA from 1 species
AACGCGAAGAACCUUACCCAGACUUGACAUGCAGAGGAAUAUACCAGAGAUGGUAUAGCCCGCAAGGGUCUUUGCACAGGUGCUGCAUGGCUGUCGUCAGCUCGUGCCGUGAGGUGUUGGGUUAAGUCCCGCAACGAGCGCAACCCUUGUCAUUAGUUGCCAACACGUAAAGGUGGGAACUCUAGUGAGACUGCCUAGGUUAACUAGGAGGAAGGUGAGGAUGACGUCAAGUCCGCAUGGCCCUUAUGUCUGGGGCCACACACGUGCUACAAUGGUCGGUACAGAGGGUAGCCAAGCCGAGAGGUGGAGCAAAUCCCGAGAAAGCCGAUCUCAGUUCGGAUUGUAGUCUGCAACUCGACUACAUGAAGCUGGAAUUGCUAGUAAUGGCGUGUCAGCUAUAACGCCGUGAAUACGUUCCCGGGCCUUGUACACACCGCACGA